CGAGCCUAAUAGUCUCGGUGAGUCAACCAAUUGCUUACCAAGUCAAUGAAAUCAACUUUGUGAGUUUUAUUUAUUUAUUUACUUCAAUUAAAAAAAAAUAUUCCUACGCGUAGCUUCCACAUAACUGUAACUUUUUUGUUUUUUAGUUUCCUAGAAAUUUCCAAUACAUAGUUAGAUUCAUUAUAUAAACUCAACAAACACCUCUUUUUCUCCAUCCAUUUUCUUUCCCUCUGCAAAUUACAAAAAAAAAAAAAAAAACUAUAUUUCUUCAUUUCUUCUUGAAAUUAAAUACUUUUAACUUUUUUUAAUUUCAGAAUAAAAUACAGAAGUCGAAAAUGAAUUCAGUGAGAUUGAUGAAUAUUUCAUUUAUGAUUAUUAGUUUCAUGUUGUUAUCACUUGUUGAAUUCAAUUUUGGACAAGGCAUAUCUCCUUCUUCUGCCCCUCCACCUUCCAACGACGGCACAACAAUUGAUCAAGGGAUUGCUUAUAUUCUUCUACUUGUUGCCCUAGCAAUUACGUACUUGGUCCAUUAAUACACUUACUAUAUGGAGCAUAUUUUAGUUUUAGCUAAUUAAUUUGUGCAUUUAUAAUUUAAAUUCUUUAUGUAUUUUUCUCCUAUUAUUCCGAAUGGAGAAAUUUCAAAAUUUUGUGAUUAAAUGAAAUAAGAAAAGGAUAUUAAUUAUUUGUUA